AGAGUUUGAUCCUGGCUCAGGAUGAACGCUAGCGGCAGGCCUAAUACAUGCAAGUCGAGGGGCAGCGGGAGUAGCAAUACUCGCCGGCGACCGGCGCACGGGUGCGUAACACGUAUGGAAUUUGCCCACUACUUCAGGAUAGCCCGGAGAAAUCCGGAUUAAUACUGAAUGACACUGCGAGACGGCAUCGUUUUGCAGUUAAAGAUUUAUCGGUAGUGGAAGACCAUGCGGCUGAUUAGCUAGUUGGUGAGGUAAUGGCUCACCAAGCCUACGAUCAGUAGCUGAUGUGAGAGCAUGAUCAGCCACACGGGCACUGAGACACGGGCCCGACUCCUACGGGAGGCAGCAGUAAGGAAUAUUGGUCAAUGGACGCAAGUCUGAACCAGCCAUGCCGCGUGGAGGAUGAAGGUCCUCUGGAUUGUAAACUUCUUUUAUCUGGGACGAAAAAAGGGUUUUCUAACUCGUCUGACGGUACCAGAUGAAUAAGCACCGGCUAACUCCGUGCCAGCAGCCGCGGUAAUACGGAGGGUGCAAGCGUUAUCCGGAUUCACUGGGUUUAAAGGGUGCGUAGGCGGGCAAUUAAGUCCGUGGUGAAAUACCUGAGCUUAACUUGGGAACUGCCAUGGAUACUAUUUGUCUUGAAUGUCGUGGAGGUUAGCGGAAUAUGUCAUGUAGCGGUGAAAUGCUUAGAUAUGACAUAGAACACCUAUUGCGAAGGCAGCUAACUACGCGAAUAUUGACGCUGAGGCACGAAAGCGUGGGGAUCAAACAGGAUUAGAUACCCUGGUAGUCC
rnacentral:rRNA from 1 species